UCCCUGGUGGCUCAGUGGUAAAGCAUCUGCCUGCCAAUGCAGGAGACACAGGUUUGAUCCCUGGUCCAGGAA
rfam:TPA: Bos taurus chromosome 20, whole genome shotgun sequence.